rnacentral:rRNA from 1 species
UGCAGUCGAACGCCCCGCAAGGGGAGUGGCAGACGGGUGAGUAACGCGUGGGAAUCUACCGUGCCCUGCGGAAUAGCUCCGGGAAACUGGAAUUAAUACCGCAUACGCCCUACGGGGGAAAGAUUUAUCGGGGUAUGAUGAGCCCGCGUUGGAUUAGCUAGUUGGUGGGGUAAAGGCCUACCAAGGCGACGAUCCAUAGCUGGUCUGAGAGGAUGAUCAGCCACAUUGGGACUGAGACACGGCCCAAACUCCUACGGGAGGCAGCAGUGGGGAAUAUUGGACAAUGGGCGCAAGCCUGAUCCAGCCAUGCCGCGUGAGUGAUGAAGGCCUUAGGGUUGUAAAGCUCUUUCACCGGAGAAGAUAAUGACGGUAUCCGGAGAAGAAGCCCCGGCUAACUUCGUGCCAGCA